UACGUAGGGUGCGAGCGUUAAUCGGAAUUACUGGGCGUAAAGCGUGCGCAGGCGGUUCGUUGUGUCGGCGGUGAAAGCCCCGGGCUUAACCUGGGAACGGCCGUUUGAAAACUGGCGAACUGGAGUGUGGCAGAGGGGGGGUGGAAUUCCACGUGUAGCAGUGAAAUGCGUAGAGAUGUGGAGGAACACCGAUGGCGAAGGCAGCCCCCCUGGGGCCAAUACUGACGCUCAUGCACGAAAAGCGUGGGGAGCAAACAGG
rnacentral:rRNA from 1 species